rnacentral:rRNA from 1 species
AAGCACCUCAAGUGGUCAGGAUGAUUAUUGGGCCUAAAGCAUCCGUAGCCGGCUCUGUAAGUUUUCGGUUAAAUCUGUACGCUCAACGUACAGGCUGCCGGGAAUACUGCAGAGCUAGGGAGUGGGAGAGGUAGACGGUACUCGGUAGGAAGGGGUAAAAUCCUUUGAUCUAUUGAUGACCACCUGUGGCGAAGGCGGUCUACCAGAACACGUCCGACGGUGAGGGAUGAAAGCUGGGGGAGCAAACCGGAUUAGAUACCCGAGUAGUCC